AUUGAACGCUGGCGGCAUGCCUUACACAUGCAAGUCGAACGGCAGCACGGGUGCUUGCCCCUGGUGGCGAGUGGCGAACGGGUGAGUAAUACAUCGGAACAUGUCCUGUAGUGGGGGAUAGCCCGGCGAAAGCCGGAUUAAUACCGCAUACGAUCUACGGAUGAAAGCGGGGGACCUUCGGGCCUCGCGCCAUAGGGUUGGCCGAUGGCUGAUUAGCUAGUUGGUGGGGUAAAGGCCUACCAAGGCGACGAUCAGUAGCCGGUCUGAGAGGACGACCAGCCACACUGGGACUGAGACACGGCCCAGACUCCUACGGGAGGCAGCAGUGGGGAAUUUUGGACAAUGGGCGAAAGCCUGACCCAGCAAUGCCGCGUGUGUGAAGAAGGCCUUCGGGUUGUAAAGCACUUUUGUCCGGAAAGAAAUCCUUGGCCCUAAUACGGUCGGGGGAUGACGGUACCGGAAGAGUAAGCACCGGCUAACUACGUG
rnacentral:rRNA from 1 species